rnacentral:rRNA from 1 species
UGCAGUCGAGCGGACCGACGGGAGCUUGCUCCCUUAGGUCAGCGGCGGACGGGUGAGUAACACGUGGGUAACCUGCCUGUAAGACUGGGAUAACUCCGGGAAACCGGGGCUAAUACCGGAUGCUUGAUUGAACCGCAUGGUUCAAUUAUAAAAGGUGGCUUUUAGCUACCACUUACAGAUGGACCCGCGGCGCAUUAGCUAGUUGGUGAGGUAACGGCUCACCAAGGCGACGAUGCGUAGCCGACCUGAGAGGGUGAUCGGCCACACUGGGACUGAGACACGGCCCAGACUCCUACGGGAGGCAGCAGUAGGGAAUCUUCCGCAAUGGACAAAAGUCUGACGGAGCAACGCCGCGUGAGUGAUGAAGGUUUUCGGAUCGUAAAACUCUGUUGUUAGGGAAAAACAAGUACCGUUCGAAUAGGGCGGUACCUUGACGGUACCUAACCAGAAAGCCACGGCUAACUACGUGCCAGCAGCCGCGGUAAUACGUAGGUGGCAAGCGUUGUCCGGAAUUAUUGGGCGUAAAGCGCGCGCAGGCGGUUUCUUAAGUCUGAUGUGAAAGCCCCCGGCUCAACCGGGGAGGGUCAUUGGAAACUGGGGAACUUGAGUGCAGAAGAGGAGAGUGGAAUUCCACGUGUAGCGGUGAAAUGCGUAGAGAU